UUGACCUCGAUCAGGUAGGGAU
rnacentral:rRNA from 1 species